rnacentral:rRNA from 1 species
CGCGUAGGCGGUUCGUUAAGUCCUGUGUGAAAUCCCCGGCUCAACUGGGGAACGGCACAGGAAACUGGCGGGCUUGAGUUCGGGAGAGGGAAGCGGAAUUCCGGGUGUAGCGGUGAAAUGCGUAGAUAUCCGGAGGAACACCGGUGGCGAAGGCGGCUUCCUGGACCGACACUGACGCUGAGGCGCGAAAGCUAGGGGAGCAAACG